rnacentral:misc_RNA from 1 species
UUGCUACAAUUGAUCUUCUGUUCAUUUUUUUUUUUAAGGACCCAACAGUAAUUUCCUCCAUUAUAUUUAACUCUAAAAAGAUUAGUAAUCAUCAUAACACAACACUGAAGUCUUGGGACUCUUGAGAGAGAGAGAACUACUUUCUACCUCACCAGAAAACUAGUAUUAUUAACAAGAAAAAUGAACAGAAGAUCAAUUGUAGCAA